ensembl:misc_RNA Metazoa_SRP Metazoan signal recognition particle RNA
GCUGGGCAUGGUGGUGCAUGCCUGUAAUCCCAGCUACUUGGGAGGCUGAGGCAGGAGAAUUGCUUGAACCCAGGAGGUGGAGGUUGCAGUGAGCCAAGAUUGUGCCACUGCACUCCAGCUUGGGUGACAGAGCGAGACUCUGUCUCAA